GACGAACCGAGCGAACGUUGUUCGGAAUCACUGGGCUUAAAGGGUGCGUAGGCGGGCUGCCAAGUUUGGGGUGAAAUCCUCCGGCUCAACCGGGGAAGUGCCUUGAAUACUGGCGGUCUCGAGGGAGGUAGGGGCGUGCGGAACUAACGGCGGAGCGGUGAAAUGCGUUGAUAUCGUUAGGAACUCCGGUGGCGAAGGCGGCACGCUGGACCUCUUCUGACGCUGAGGCACGAAAGCCAGGGAGCGAACGGG
rnacentral:rRNA from 1 species